rnacentral:rRNA from 1 species
CAAUAGCGUAUAUUAAAGUUGUUGCAGUUAAAAAGCUCGUAGUUGGAUUUGUGGCGUACGGUGUGUUCCGGGCACUUGUUAUCUGAGUAACCUGCUGUUGCCAUCCUUGGGUGGAACCUGUGUGGCAUUAGGUUGUCGUGCAGGGGAUGCCCAUCAUUUACUGUGAAAAAAUUAGAGUGUUCAAAGCAGGCUUAUGCCGUUGAAUAUAUUAGCAUGGAAUAAUGAGAUAGGACUUUUUUGCUAUUUUGUUGGUUUGCGCAAAGAGGUAAUGAUUAAUAGGGACAGUUGGGGGUAUUCGUAUUCCAUUGUCAGAGGUGAAAUUCUUGGAUUUUUGGAAGACGAACUACUGCGAAAGCAUUUACCAAGGAUGUUUUCAUUAA